rnacentral:rRNA from 1 species
UACGAAGGGUGCAAACGUUGCUCGGAAUUAUUGGGCGUAAAGCGCACGUAGGCGGCUCUGAAAGUUGGAUGUGAAAUCCCUCGGCUCAACCAAGGAAGUGCAUCCAAAACUGCAGAGCUUGAGUACUUAAGAGGAUCGCGGAAUUCCCGGCGUAGAGGUGAAAUUCGUAGAUAUCGGGAGGAACACCAGUGGCGAAGGCGGCGAUCUGGGAAGAUACUGACGCUGAGGUGCGAAAGCGUGGGGAGCAAACAGG